rnacentral:tRNA from 1 species
CUCCUUUUGAGCAUGACGUCAUUCGUCCUGUCGGGCGUCCUCACAAAUUACCUGCAUUCAGAGAUUCAUACCGGCACAGGUCGGUAUGCGAAGUCCCUUUUGGGGCCUUAGCUCAGCUGGGAGAGCACCUGCUUUGCAAGCAGGGGGUCGUCGGUUCGAUCCCGACAGGCUCCACCAUAUUGAGUGAAAAGACUUCGGGUCUGUAGCUCAGGUGGUUAGAGCGCACCCCUGAUAAGGGUGAGGUCGGUAGUUCGAGUCUACCCAGACCCACCACUCUGAAUGUAGUGCACACUUAAGAAUUUAUAUGGAUCAGCGUUGAGGCUGAGACAUGUUCUUUUAUAACUUGUGACGUAGCGAGCGUUUGAGAUAUCUAUCUAAACGUGUCGUUGAGGCUAAGGCGGGGACUUCGAGUCCCUAAAUAAUUGAGUCGUAUGUUCGCGUUGGUGGCUUUGUACUCCACACAACACGUACAUGUAGCUCCGAGGCAACUUGGGGUUAUAUGGUCAAGCGAAUAAGCGCACACGGGA